UGGUGGAGUGAUUUGUCUGGUUAAUUCCGAUAACGAACGAGACUCUGGCCUAUUAAAUAGUUCGCCGAUUCCGAUCUGUCGGCGUUAACUUCUUAGAGGGACAAGUGGCUUUUAGCCACGCGAGAUUGAGCAAUAACA
rnacentral:rRNA from 1 species